GUCGAAGUUCCCUUCUCAGGGAAAAGGGUUACAUGCGUAACCCCAACAUUUUUUUGCAGUGUUGUUUAACAUGUUUAUGUGUUAUGUUUGUUUGAUGUUCUGCAAUGACUGGAGAUCAGUGCAGAAUUCACCAGACGUGUCGAUGGACCUGAGCAAGUCCUUUUAUGAGGGUCUUGACAAACAUGUCACAAAGCUGCUGUAUUUGUACCGCUCGAGGCACUAUGCAGACAUCGCAGAAAUGAGUGCCAUACUGGAGAGCCUGGAUAAAAAUGCAUCAAAUCAACAGAAGAGGGUUGCAGUACUGCUGGGGCUGCCAUUGUACAUGUGGGAGAAUCCAUCUCAGUUCUUACAGAUCUGUGAGCACACAGAUUCUGAAGAAGAGUUAAUCAAGGGCAGGACUGUUGGAAUCAUUACAGUUGUGGAUGAUGUGAUGGACCCUAUUCCGUGUGACUGCAGCGAUGUAACACUUAUAUUCGAAGAAGUUUUCGUUCUACGCAAUCUUGGUGAUGUACCAAAUGCAUUUGUCAACUUGAUGGGAUUCCUUUAUACACUUAACAUAAACUACCCCCAAAACUUCACAUACACCUUUGAGGUCAUUCAGAGGCUGUUCAUGAACAUUGGAACUGAUGCCUGCAGUGCACGAGUACAUUCACUUAAAAAUAAACUGCUCAAGUAGAGAUGGGUGUUAUGGAUUUCUUGUAAGAGAGAUUUCGCUGCUUUGAGACAAUGUCUAUUGUAAAAAGCGCUAUACAAAUAAAAUUGAAUUGAAUUGAAUUGAAUUGAAUUUCAUGUGUUGUUGUGUUGUGUAUGUUACAGUUUCUAUGCCUCAACAGCAUGACUUCAAUUAUGUUUUAUAUUUUCACCUUUAAACACUGGGCAAUUGAAAUGUAAUUUUGUUAGGC
ensembl:lncRNA